rnacentral:sRNA from 1 species
UGAUAAACAAGUAAGAUGUCCCAUGGGU